UAUUUUUUCAUAAAAAUGAAAAUAUAAAACUCCAGUGAUAUGGCUAGCACAGCAUGAACAAAUAAUGAUGAUAGGUGCCAAAUGUAUACAAUGAAAUAACAUGCAUGCAUUAAAUGUGUUCCCAUAGAAUGAUUAACAACCGAGAAGCAUGUGUAAGGGAAAAGGACACGGUUUUAAAAUGGAGAUUACACUGUAGUGUUAAUCGUUCCUGAUUCUGAGAAAUACACUCCAGGCACAGAGCAUUCCUCUUUCUUCUGUGAAGUUCACAUUCAGCAAGGCACGACCUUAAAUGAAAAAUCAACUAUGUGGGGCAGAACAAACUCCGAGAGCAUGGUGAAGACUUAGCAAGCAGCACUGACUGGAGAACGACUUAGCAGGUAUUGUAAGACUCUGGGAUCCCUGAGUGAACCACGUGGAGCUGGAAUCAAUGCAAAGCCUCUCCGUGACUUUGAACAUGAAAGUUGGAUUUUGACCUGGACCAGAUCAGCAGCUAGAUACCUGUACACACCAGCAGCCUUCAUGCCUCCCAGGAGGUCCACAGUAACCAAAGACACAGGUGAAAAUCUUGCUCAAAUACCCACAACUUAGACAACCAUGGGGUGACACAGG
rnacentral:lncRNA from 1 species